CAGAGGGUGCAAGCGUUAAUCGGAUUUACUGGGCGUAAAGCGUGAGUAGGUGGCUUCCUAAGUCGGUUGUGAAAUCCCUGGGCUUAACCUGGGAAUUGCAGUCGAUACUGGGAAGCUCGAGUUCGGUAGAGGGUGGCGGGAUUCCCGGUGUAGCGGUGAAAUGCGUAGAUAUCGGGAGGAACAUCGAUGGCGAAGGCAACCACCUGGGCCUGAACUGACACUGAGACACGAAAGCGUGGGUAGCAAACAGGAUUAGAUACCCUGGUAGUCCACGCCGUAAACGAUGAGAACCUGACGUCGGUUUGCUCUGCGAAUCGGUGUCGUAGCUAACGCGCUAAGUUCUCCGCCUGGGGAGUACGGCCGCAAGGUUG
rnacentral:rRNA from 1 species